UAGCAGCAAACAGCUAAUGGUAACUAGCUCUCCAACACAUAUGUCAACACGGAUUAGGUGUAUACAGUGUAGCAUUAUCAAAACAAAUUAGGGGGAUAUCUUUGAGCAUGGUAUCACCCUUUGGAGAUGUACCAUGGCGUGGAGGAGCUAAGAGUUGGAAAGGUGUAGGCAAUCGUUGUUGUGCAUGAAUGAUCCGGGAUCAGCUGUUCUUCAAAACUGGCUCUAAGUUGCUGAUCUGAGUCUAGUAGGCUUCAUCAGGGUAACUGUUCAAGGAUGACCAGAUACACAAGCACCACUGAUCAGCUAUACAGGAGUCAUCACAGAGCUGUUACUGUACAAGCUAACAUGAAGUGAUGCAAUCCAUCUUGGGAGUCAGAGGCCCUUCCAUGGGACCUCCCUCGUUCCUUCCUCCUCUCCCCCUCUCCCCCAGUUUGUCUGGAGACAAAGGGUUAAGGAGGAACAGACCCUCUGAAGGGCUGGCUGCUUAACCUAUGGCCUUAUGGUGUACGAGACAGAGAGAGAGAGAAAGAAAGGGAAAGAGAAGGAGAGAGAGGGGAGGUCUGACAACUGACAUAUAACUAUGCAAUUAAUUGUAAAUACACUGGGUUACAAGUUAAUGAUU